CACAAUCCAGGUGAAUACCUAAGUCC
rnacentral:piRNA from 1 species